rnacentral:lncRNA from 1 species
CUCCUUCCAUAUUCAAAUAUACGAGUCCUCAUACCAUUAAUAUAAAAGUGUUUCUUCUACAAUAACACGGACAAAUUCUCACUAAUAAUUAUGAAUACCUCUAAAUAACAAUGUUAUUGUCGUAGAUCAAACAAAAAACAUUUCUUUUUCAAGGACAAAAGUUAGAUAAUGAGUAGGAUUUCAAGACUGUUAUUCUGUCUAAUAACUUUUCUAACGAAAAUUCCCAAAUUCCUUGACGUUUCUUGCGGAAACUCUAUGAAUUUUCUUUGUGUUCGUUCUUUCAAAGAAUCGAAAUCCAAGUCUGGGCCAAAACCUAGCAAGUGGAAGCUUUUGUUUUGCAGAAUUGUUGGCGGAAGUGACGAACCUUUAUGCAUCCACAAUAUUCCCUGAUUCUGGCGAUGAUCACAAUGUAUACAUCUCUCCAUUAGCUUCCAAAUCCUGUUGGUUAGAAUUUUGAGCU